UGGCCUUUUUAUUAGUUAAAUGUAAAAUUAUACAUGCAAGACUCCUCUCCCCGGGUGAAAAUGCCCUUUUAACCACAAAGRAUGAAAGGAGCGGGUAUCAAGCACACUAAUUAGUAGCUCACAACGCCUUGCUUUGCCACACCCCCAUGGGAAACAGCAGUAAUAAAAAUUAAGCAAUAAACGAAAGUUUGACUAAGUUAUACACUAGCAAAAAGGGUUGGUAAAUUUCGUGCCAGCCACCGCGGUCAUACGAUUAACCCAAACUAAUAAAACCCGGCGUAAAGAGUGUUUUAGAAAAACAUAAAAUAAGACUAAAAUUUAUCUAAGUCGUAGAAAACACCAGAUAAAAUACAUACUGAAACGAAAGUAGUCUUACUAUAUCUGAAUACACGAAAGCUAGAAUCCAAACUGGGAUUAGAUACCCCACUAUGCCUAGCCAUAAACAUAAAAAUUUUAUAACAAAAAUUCUCGCCCGAGAACUACUAGCCACAGCUUAAAACUCAAAGGACUUGGCGGUGCUUUACACCCACCUAGAGGAGCCUGUUCUAUAAUCGAUAAACCCCGAUACACCUCACCACCCCUUGCUAAUUCAGCUUAUAUACCGCCAUCUUCAGCAAACCCUAUUAUGGAACAACAGUAAGCUUAACUAUCAACAAUAAAAACGUUAGGUCAAGGUGUAGCCUAUGGGGUGGGAAGAAAUGGGCUACAUUUUCUUAUCAAAGAACAUUCUACGCAAAUCCUCAUGAAACUGAGGAUAUAAGGAGGAUUUAGUAGUAAAUUAAGAACAGAGAGCUUAAUUGAACCAGGCCAUGAAGCACGUACACACCGCCCGUCACCCUCCUCAAGUGUUCAAAAAUUCACCCAAAACAACAACACAAGAGGAGAUAAGUCGUAACAAGGUAAGUAUACUGGAAAGUGUACUUGGA
rnacentral:ncRNA from 1 species